AAUAUUGUACAAUGGGCGAAAGCCUGAUCCAGCCAUGCCGCGUGUGUGAAGAAGGUUUUCGGAGUGUAGUGAACUUUAAUUUUGGGGGAAGGGCAUCAGGUUAAUCACUUGCUGUUUUGACGUUCGCUACAGAAUAAGCACCGGAUAACUUCGUGCCAGCAGCCGCGGUAAUACGAAGGGCUGAAGCGUUAAUCGGAAUUAGUGGGCGUAAAGCACGCGUAGGUGGUUUGUUAAGUUGGAAGUGAAAGCCCAGGGCUCAACCUGGGAACUGCUUUCAAAACUGGCAUGCUAGAGUAUGGCAGAGGGUGGUGGAAUUUCCUGUGUAGCGGUGAAAUGCGUAGAUAUAGGAAGGAACACCAGUGGCGAAGGCGACCACCUGGGCUAAUACUGACACUGAGGUGCGAAAGCGUGGCGAGCAAAC
rnacentral:rRNA from 1 species